UUUGGACUUGUCUUCUGAAGAAGCAACUGGCGCAUGCAGUUGAGGACUACGAUACUCAAAAUUUAGAACUUGGCUGAUGGGUUUAUGGCCAUCAAGACUCAUAUAAAGAAGGAAUAAUCCAGCAGAAUGUGGUGGUAAAAAACAGCGGUACACCCCAGCCUGAACAAACUCCAUAGGCACACGUACCUCGCCACAGACACAGAACAUAUUGGAUUUUGAAAGAUGUAAACAAUCCUUAUGAAAGAAUCCAGUGACUAGGAUCUGCAACAACAAUUAACAGAAGGUCAAGAUUUUACAAUAAAAACCAUAAAAGCAUCUAUACCCCGAUCUGCAACAACAAUUAACGGAAGGUCAAGAUUUUACAAUAAAAACCAUAAAAGCAUCUAUACCCCGAUGGGAUAGUAGAGCGAGUGGUUUUCAAGCUGCUUUUUUUGUGUCUGGCCACCCAAGUUCGAAUCUCGAGGGAGGUAGGGACUAAAAAAUUGAUUCAGGCUUUGCCCACCAUCUUAUAUAUAUAUAUAUAUAUAUGUAUAUAUGCGUGUAUAUAUAUAUAUGUAUAUAUAUAACCAUAAAAGUACCAAUUAAUUGAGCUCAAGAAUAUUAAGCAUUCAUGACCAAAACUUUAAAAUUGAACUCAGAUACUUUCAUGAAAACCUUCUUUUCCCCUUGGCAAAUAAGAAAUGCACUCUCUUUUGGAAUUAAACUGAUAACCCAUCCUAUAACUCACUGGCUCUCAGAACCCAAAUCCAUUCUAUUGAGAAAAACUGCCAAAGUAACAAGCACUACACAACACUAGCAGAGGAAAGUAGCAAAUGGAAUAAAAACCUUU
rnacentral:lncRNA from 1 species